UUAGGACUCUGCCGGCACCUUAUGAGAAAUCAAAGUUUUUAGGUUUCGGGGGGAGUAUAGUCGCAAGGCUGAAACCAGGAGUGGAGCCUGCAGCUUAAUUUGACUCUACACGGGAAAACUUACCAGGUCCAGACAUAGUAAGGAUUGACAGACUGAGAGAUUUUUCUUGAUUCUAUGGGUGGUGGUGCAUGACCGUUCUUAGUUGGUGGAGCGAUUUGUCUGGUUAAUUUUGUUAACGAACGAGACCUCAGCUUGCUAACUAGAUAUGCGGAGGUAUCCCUUCGCGGCCAGCUUCUUAGAGGGACUACGACCUUUUAGGCCGCGGAAGUUUGAGGCAAUAACAGGUCUGUGAUGCCCUUAGAUGUUCUGGGCCGCACGCGCGCUACACUGAAUCGAUAGCCUGCCUCUCGCGCCCCGUCUGCGGCGUGCGUCUGGGGGACCUGUGCUUUUUCUGUAAAAAAAAAUGACUCUCGGCAAUGGAUAUCUCAGCUCUCGCAUCGAUGAAGAACGUAGCGAAAAUGUGAUACUUGGUGUGAAUUGCAGAAUCCCAUGAACCAUC
rnacentral:ncRNA from 1 species